rnacentral:rRNA from 1 species
CCUACGGGGGGCUGCAGUGGGGAAUUUUGGACAAUGGGGGCAACCCUGAUCCAGCCAUUCCGCGUGAGUGAAGAAGGCCUUCGGGUUGUAAAGCUCUUUCGGCAGGAACGAAACGGUCUUGGUUAAUACCUGAGGCUAAUGACGGUACCUGAAGAAGAAGCACCGGCUAACUACGUGCCAGCAGCCGCGGUAAUACGUAGGGUGCGAGCGUUAAUCGGAAUUACUGGGGGUAAAGCGUGCGCAGGCGGGUGAAAUCCCCGGGCUUAACCUGGGAACUGCGUUUGUGACUGUAAGACUCGAGUGUGGCAGAGGGGGGUGGAAUUCCACGUGUAGCAGUGAAAUGCGUAGAGAUGUGGAGGAACACCGAUGGCGAAGGCAGCCCCCUGGGUCAACACUGACGCUCAUGCACGAAAGCGUGGGUAGCAAACAGGAUUAGAUACCCUGGUAGUC